CCUACGGGAGGCAGCAGUAGGGAAUCUUCCACAAUGGGCGAAAGCCUGAUGGAGCAACGCCGCGUGGGUGAAGAAGGUCCUCGGAUCGUAAAACCCUGUUGUUAGAGAAGAAAGUGCGUGAGCGUAACUGUUCACGUUUCGACGGUAUCUAACCAGAAAGCCACGGCUAACUACGUGCCAGCAGCCGCGGUAAUACGUAGGUGGCAAGCGUUAUCCGGAUUUAUUGGGCGUAAAGGGAACGCGGGCGGUCUUUUAAGUCUGAUGGGAAAGCCUUCGGCUUAACCGGAGUAGUGCAUUGGAAACUGGGAGACUUGAGUGCAGAAGAGGAGAGUGGAACUCCGUGUGUAGCGGUGAAAUGCGUAGAUAUAUGGAAGAACACCAGUGGCGAAAGCGGCUCUCUGGUCUGUAACUGACGCUGAGGUUCGAAAGCGUGGGUAGCAAACAGGAUUAGAUACCCCUGUAGUC
rnacentral:rRNA from 1 species